UCAAAGGAAUUGACGGGGGCCCGCACAAGCGGUGGAGUAUGUGGUUUAAUUCGAUGCAACGCGAAGAACCUUACCUGGUCUUGACAUCCCGGAGACCCUUAGGAAACUAGGGGGUGCUUCCAUCUGGAAGAAUCUGGAGACAGGUGCUGCAUGGCUGUCGUCAGCUCGUGUCGUGAGAUGUUGGGUUAAGUCCCGCAACGAGCGCAACCCUUGCCUUUAGUUGCCAGCAGUUCGGCUGGGCACUCUAAAGGGACUGCCGGUGUUAAACCGGAGGAAGGUGGGGAUGACGUCAAGUCCUCAUGGCCUUUAUGACCAGGGCUACACACGUACUACAAUGGCCGAUACAAAGGGCAGCGACACUGCGAAGUGAAGCCAAUCCCGUAAAAUCAGUCUCAGUCCGGAUUGGAGUCUGCAACUCGACUCCAUGAAGUUGGAAUCGCUAGUAAUCGUGGAUCAGCAUGCCACGGUGAAUACGUUCCCGGGCCUU
rnacentral:rRNA from 1 species